UUUUCCCGUCGUGUUUUUUUGUACGUGCAUGCAGUUCAAUUCAGGAACCAAAUCAAAACAACGCAAUACCGGAUACGUCAUGGAAUUUUGCUUAGUUGCCGUACCAGAACCAUCAAAUACGAAGAAAAAAGUUAUCCCCAGUCCCCACUUCUCAGUCAGUCCUCUCCUCACGUAGGCACUCCUAUAUAAUGGAUCAGCUACAUUUAGUACAGUUUUUUGUUAUCGCAGUAAAAUAAUUUUAGUAUUGGAUAAGUGUGUGUAUUUAUAGAUUUAAGUGCAUUACUAGAUUAUUAGCUACGUUCACCCAACAAUGACAACAUUCCACGAUUGUGCGCUGCAAGGUCUAAGCCCGAUAUGGAAAAACGGUUGAAAUAAAAUUGAUAAUCAUACACAACGACAGACAUACAUACACGACGCACGCACAUGUAGGUGAUACGCCGGACAAAUGGUUCAUUGGAUUUUUUGUCGCUAUGUGGUUGGUGUGCUUCACACACAGCGCGCUUCUGGCAGUCGAAAUUAUGAAUCUGCAUUUUUCGAAAAGUUUCGUCCAGCAUAGCAAGGAGCUCCAUGAAGGUGUGAGCUUUCUCCUCAUCUGUUUGCAACAUAAUUAGAGUCAAUCGCCCAUUCAUCAAUCAUUCCAGUUUGCAUAUACUAAUGGUAUAUUAAAGGCAUGUAAAUUGUACAUAUAUUAUAGAUAGAGUGUGUGAUUUCACACUAUUUAACCUUAACUGUUUAUUCUACUAAGAUUUGAGGUAUGGACUUUUAAAGGUGAACAUCAAAUCAAAACAAAAAAAUUAUGUGAAAGCAACUUACCAGUCGAACGCAUUUUACGGUAGUUGCUACUUCCGUAGCCGUAACUCUUUUCAGUUUUGGCUGCUGAUGUGAUCGCGAUCCACAACAGCGAUCCAAGCAGGAUCAAUCCUACUAUAGCCCCUACCGAUGCGAUAAGCGUCGUUGAAUUGUAGAUGUAGAGAAAGCGACCCGUUUCGCUCAGCGCUUCGAUUGUGUUCCCGCGAGCAAAAGCGUCAACGAUUUCAAUAAUUUGGUCCAUGUUUUUUAAUUACUGGAGUUACGAGUUAAAGUCAGAAUUCUACUGAGAUGCUAACGAGAACUUAGGAAAUCAAGUACGUUGGACGACGGUCGGCAAAGAACUAAUUUAUUGUCAACAUCCUUACUUGUUUUAUAUGCACACAUUCGAAAAUGCACACUGCAUAACUGCACAGAGGAGGGAAAUAAGACGGAUUCAACAAAGCGGAAUGGUAGAACAUAGGAUGUACUACAGUUCAGAAAUUUCAGUGAGAAAUACUCAAAACUCCGCCCCAUUGAUUACUUAUUUAUGACCGAAUGCCAUUUUAUUCCUUUUUUUAGAACUCGUUUGUAAUUUCCUACUUAUUUAUCUCUGAUUAGAAGACUUUAGAUAGACUGUUGAGUUGAUUUCGCCUUUUACUUCUUUUUUUUUUGGUUGUCGAUUACCCGACUGCCAAUUAGCCUGUAAUAAUA